AUGAACGCUGGCGGCGUGCCUAAUACAUGCAAGUCGAGCGAACAGACGAGGAGCUUGCUCCUCUGACGUUAGCGGCGGACGGGUGAGUAACACGUGGAUAACCUACCUAUAAGACUGGGAUAACUUCGGGAAACCGGAGCUAAUACCGGAUAAUAUAUUGAACCGCAUGGUUCAAUAGUGAAAGACGGUUUUGCUGUCACUUAUAGAUGGAUCCGCGCCGCAUUAGCUAGUUGGUAAGGUAACGGCUUACCAAGGCAACGCUGCGUAGCCGACCUGAGAGGGUGAUCGGCCACACUGGAACUGAGACACGGUCCAGACUCCUACGGGAGGCAGCAGUAGGGAAUCUUCCGCAAUGGGCGAAAGCCUGACGGAGCAACGCCGCGUGAGUGAUGAAGGUCUUCGGAUCGUAAAACUCGGUUAUUAGGGAAGAACAAAUGUGUAAGUAACUAUGCACGUCUUGACGGUACCUAAUCAGAAAGCCACGGCUAACUACGUG
rnacentral:rRNA from 1 species